UACGUAGGGCGCAAGCGUUGUCCGGAAUUAUUGGGCGUAAAGAGCUCGUAGGCGGUCUGUCACGUCUGCUGUGAAAACUCGGGGCUUAACCCCGGGCCUGCAGUGGGUACGGGCAGACUAGAGUGCGGUAGGGGAGACUGGAAUUCCUGGUGUAGCGGUGAAAUGCGCAGAUAUCAGGAAGAACACCAAUGGCGAAGGCAGCUCUCUGGGACGGUACUGACGCUCAUGCACGAAAGCGUGGGGAGCAAACAGG
rnacentral:rRNA from 1 species